rnacentral:rRNA from 1 species
CCCUAGUAACGGCGAGUGAAGCGGCAACAGCUCAAAUUUGAAAUCUGGCGCAAGCCCGAGUUGUAAUUUGUAGAGGAUGCUUCUAGGUAGCGACCGGUCUAAGUUCCUUGGAACAGGACGUCAUAGAGGGUGAGAAUCCCGUAUGUGACCGGCCCGCACCUUCUACGUAGCUCCUUCGACGAGUCGAGUUGUUUGGGAAUGCAGCUCUAAAUGGGAGGUAAAUUUCUUCUAAAGCUAAAUACCGGCCAGAGACCGAUAGCGCACAAGUAGAGUGAUCGAAAGAUGAAAAGCACUUUGGAAAGAGAGUUAAAAAGCACGUGAAAUUGUUGAAAGGGAAGCGCUUACAACCAGACUUCUGGGCGGUGUUCCGCCGGUCUUUUGACCGGUCUACUCGCCGUCCCGAGGCCAACAUCAUCUGGGACCGCUGGAUAAGACCUCAGGAAUGUAGCUCCCCUCGGGGAGUGUUAUAGCCUGUGGUGAUGCAGCGCGUCUCGGGUGAGGUCCGCGCUUCGGCAAGGAUGUUGGCGUAAUGGUUGUCAGCGGCCCGUCUUGAAACACGGACCAAGGAGUCUAACAUCUAUGCGAGUGUUCGGGUGUCAAACCCCUACGCGUAAUGAAAGUGAACGGAGGUGGGAAGGGCAACCUGCACCAUCGACCGAUCCUGAUGUCCUCGGAUGGAUUUGAGUAAGAGCAUAGCUGUUGGGACCCGAAAGAUGGUGAACUAUGCCUGAAUAGGGUGAAGCCAGAGGAAACUCUGGUGGAGGCUCGCAGCGGUUCUGACGUGCAAAUCGAUCGUCAAAUUUGGGUAUAGGGGCGAAAGA